UACAGAGGGUGCGAGCGUUAAUCGGAAUUACUGGGCGUAAAGCGCGCGUAGGCGGCUUUGCAAGUCGAGUGUGAAAUCCCCAGGCUUAACCUGGGAACUGCAUUCGAGACUGCAUGGCUAGAGUAUGGGAGAGGGAAGUGGAAUUUCAGGUGUAGCGGUGAAAUGCGUAGAUAUCUGAAGGAACAUCAGUGGCGAAAGCGGCUCACUGGUCCAUUACUGACGCUGAGGUGCGAAAGCGUGGGGAGCAAACAGG
rnacentral:rRNA from 1 species